GGCCUUGUAUUCACUUAGUGAUUAUGGAAUGCAAUUCUGUAGGGGUAGACGGUUAAUUUCUACCAAGGUCU
rnacentral:tRNA from 1 species